CUGGAGCUGGGCAUCGUCCUGUGUGGGCUGUAUGGGGCUGUGGCUCUGCUCCUGAAGGGCAUCACCCAGAGAUAUGUGCUGCCUGGCUUUGGGCAUCCCCUCUUCAACGUCCUGCUGCUGGGAUCGGCACAGAAAAGCUCCUCCAAGGCCCUCGGGGAAGAAAAGAAGAAGAACACCAAGUACGCGGAGCCGAUGGCCCUGGGGAACAUCUGUGACACCGUGUCACCCUUUAUAUUUGCCUUUUACUUCUUUGGGUACAUGAAGACAUUCUGUGUGGGGGCAGCGUGGAUUUCCAUCAUCUCCAGCUGCCAGCUGCUCUCCAGCUUCUACAGCUACCUCAGAGGGGACAGCUACCACACCACCAAGUUUGGUGUCCACAGCCUGCUCUGGCUGGUGAUGUCCUGGGAGGAGUUUGUGCUCACCACCUUCCUUGGACUGCCUGCAGCUCAGGACAGCAGGCUGGGAAUGUUUGGGGCGUGGUUCUUCCUGGCCACUGCCUGCCUGCUGUUUCUGAUGUCGAUCCACAAAGACACCCUGGAGAUGCUGCAGAAUGCCUCCUUCAUCCUCCUCACCUUGUCCUUCAUCCACCAGAUCCCGCUGGCUGGCGCCCGGCCCUUCCUGGGGGCCGCCUGCAGCCUCUGCACCGCGCUCUCCCUGUACGCCACCUUUGCCAGCCUCAUCAACUCCAUUGGGGAGAAGGCUCUGAUUCCCGUGGGCACCCAGGCCGUGCCCAGCUCAGCUCUCCAGGCCAUGCUGGGGGCUGUGCAGAGCUGGCUCUCAAGCUCCAAGGAUAUCCCCAGCGGCACCAGCGCUGCCGUGCCGGACUCGCUGUUCUACAUCUGCAAUGGCCUGGCUGCGGUCGCUGCCGUGCAGGGCAGCGUGGGUGCCCCGGGCAGGCAGCAGCUCUCCAUCCCCUCCGUGCUCAUCCCAGGAGCCCUGGGGCAGCUGUUCGUGUGCCGGAUCCAGGUGCAGGGUGGGAAGAGGUUCGGGUCUGUGCUCCCCUUCUGUUACGCUGCCUUCUGGGCAGCCUGGACCUGGCUGCGCCUGGCAGGCCACUUGCUGGACAUCGGGGCGGGGCACACCGAGGGAUUCACUGCUGGCU
rnacentral:lncRNA from 1 species